rnacentral:rRNA from 1 species
CUCUCAGCUUAUUUCGCGCAGCUUAGGUGGGAGACGUUGAACCUUUUCUUCCGGGAAGGGGGAGUCAUCAGUGAGAUACCACUCUUGGUAAGCUAGAGCGCUCAUUUUUAACCGUUAUCCGGUAAAAAGACAGUUUCAGGCGGGCAGUUUGACUGGGGCAGUCACCUCCCAAAAGGUAAUGGAGGUGUACAAAGGUUCUCUCAGGCUGGACGGAAAUCAGCCAUAGAGUGUAAAAGCAUAAGAGAGCUUGACUGCGAGACGGACAUGUCAAGCAGAGACGAAAGUCGGUUUUAGUGAUCCGACGGUGCUGAGUGGAAAGGCCGUCGCUCAACGGAUAAAGUUACUCUAGGGAUAACA